CUGGCUCAGGAUGAACGCUAGCUACAGGCUUAACACAUGCAAGUCGAGGGGCAGCGGGAAGGAAGCUUGCUUCUUGCCGGCGACCGGCGCACGGGUGAGUAACGCGUAUCCGAACCUGCCCGCGGCUCAGGGAUAGCCUCGUGAAAACGAGAUUAAUACCUGAUGGUCUUGUUGGUUGACAUCAAUUGACAAGUAAAGAUUUAUCGGCAGCGGAUGGGGAUGCGUUCCAUUAGGUUGUUGGCGGGGUAACGGCCCACCAAGCCGACGAUGGAUAGGGGUUCUGAGAGGAAGGUCCCCCACAUUGGAACUGAGACACGGUCCAAACUCCUACGGGAGGCAGCAGUGAGGAAUAUUGGUCAAUGGGCGAGAGCCUGAACCAGCCAAGUAGCGUGAAGGGGAUGACUGCCCUAUGGGUCGUAAACCUCUUUUAUACGGGAAUAAAAUGCGCCACGUGUGGUGUUUUGCAUGUACCGUAAGAAUAAGCAUCGGCUAAUUCCGUGCCAGCCGCUGC
rnacentral:rRNA from 1 species